GACGAACGCUGGCGGCGCGCCUAAUACAUGCAAGUCGAGCGAGAACCAGGGCUUGCCCUGGGGAGAGCGGCGAACGGGUGCGUAUCACGUGAGCAACCUGCCUCAGAGACCGGGAUAACUCGAGGAAACUCGGGCUAAUACCGGAUGCCCUCGGUGGACCGCAUGGUCCGGCGAGGAAAUGGAUUCCGCUCUGAGAUGGGCUCGCGGCCUAUCAGCUUGUGGGUGGGGUAACGGCCUACCAAGGCGACGACGGGUAGCUGGUCUGAGAGGACGAUCAGCCACACUGGGACGGAGACACGGCCCAGACUCCUACGGGAGGCAGCAGUAGGGAAUCUUGCGCAAUGGGGGAAACCCUGACGCAGCGACGCCGCGUGCGGGAUGAAGGCCUUCGGGUCGUAAACCGCUUUCAGCAGGGACGAAAUUGACGGUACCUGCAGAAGAAGGCCCGGCCAACUACGUGCCAGCCGCCGCCGUAACAC
rnacentral:rRNA from 1 species